rnacentral:misc_RNA from 1 species
GAUGAAGAACGCAGCGAAAUGCGAUAAGUAAUGUGAAUUGCAGAAUUCAGUGAAUCAUCGAAUCUUUGAACGCACAUUGCGCCCGUCAGUAUUCUGGCGGGCAUGCCUGUUCGAGCGUCAUUACGCCCCUCAAGUCCCCUGUGGACUUGGUGUUGGGGAUCGGCGAGGCUGGUUUUCCAGCACAGCCGUCCCUUAAAUUAAUUGGCGGUCUCGCCGUGGCCCUCCUCUGCGCAGUAGUAAAACACUCGCAACAGGAGCCCGGCGCGGUCCACUGCCGUAAAACCCCCCAACUUUUUAUAGUUGACCUCGAAUCAGGUAGGACUACCCGCUGAACUUAAGCAUAUCAAUAAGCGGAGGA